rnacentral:rRNA from 1 species
GACGAACGCUGGCGGCGUGCCUAAUACAUGCAAGUCGAACGCAUUUUCUUUCACCGUAGCUUGCUACACCGAAAGAAAAUGAGUGGCGAACGGGUGAGUAACACGUGGGUAACCUGCCCAUCAGCGGGGGAUAACACUUGGAAACAGGUGCUAAUACCGCAUAAUUCCAUUUACCGCAUGGUAAAUGGAUGAAAGGCGCUUUUGCGUCACUGAUGGAUGGACCCGCGGUGCAUUAGCUAGUUGGUGGGGUAACGGCCUACCAAGGCUGCGAUGCAUAGCCGACCUGAGAGGGUGAUCGGCCACACUGGGACUGGGACACGGCCCAGACUCCUACGGGAGGCAGCAGUAGGGAAUCUUCGGCAAUGGACGCAAGUCUGACCGAGCAACGCCGCGUGAGUGAAGAAGGUUUUCGGAUCGUAAAACUCUGUUGUUAGAGAAGAACAAGGAUGAGAGUGGAAAGUUCAUCCCUUGACGGUAUCUAACCAGAAAGCCACGGCUAACUACGUG